rnacentral:rRNA from 1 species
UACGGAGGGGGGCUAGCGUUGUUCGGAAUUACUGGGCGUAAAGCGCACGUAGGCGGACCGGAAAGUUGGAGGUGAAAUCCCAGGGCUCAACCUUGGAACUGCCUUCAAAACUAUCGGUCUGGAGUUCAGAGAGGUGAGUGGAAUUCCGAGUGUAGAGGUGAAAUUCGUAGAUAUUCGGAGGAACACCAGUAGCGAAGGCGGCUCACUGGCUCGAUACUGACGCUGAGGUGCGAAAGCGUGGGGAGCAAACAGG